AAUAUUCUAGGGAUUUUUAGGAAUUUUUAGAGUAUUUUUAUGCAAUUUUUGGAGUCCGUUUGGCAUUUUUACCGGGAGGAGGAAGUUUAAAAAAAAAAAAAUCACAAAGUGCAAGAGCUAGGGUUCGAACCCAGUCUCUCGGCCCAAGCAGUAUUCGACCCAACCAACCGAGCUGAGCUCGUUUUGUUAACUAAGUGUGGGAACAAAGAUAUUUAAGUAAUAGAUGGAACCAAAAUAACCCAGGUUAUUUAAGGAGAUUAAUUUCCUUCCCGAAACCUAAAACCUAAUCUCUCCUUUUCUCCUCACGCACGCGACGCCGUUUUCUUCCCUCGGGCGAAAUCGCAGCCAAGGCUAGGGUUUCCUCCUUACGACGUCGGCGAGGUGUUUUCCGGCCGGUCUCCACUCGUGGGUGACUAUUCCGGCAGGGAGAGCUCGGGAAAUACAAGGAAAAAAAGGUGGAAUCGAAGUUCCACCGAAACCCUAGGGCGCUUCUCUUCGGUUGUAAGUCCAAGAACCCGAUAUACAGAUAAGAGUAAGGGAAAAGCUAAAGUGUUAUAGAGGAAGGCGACAAGGAGACGUUGGUGGUGUGUGUGUGGUGGCGGAUAUGGAAGCUUGGGACCUUGCUAGAAGAGUUUAGAAAUCAUAUUUGCUGGUGUUUAUGUUUCUGUUAAAGUAGAAUUUAUUUUGCAUUGCUAAGGAUUGUUUUAGAUUGCUUCUUUUGAAUGUUAGAACAAUUAAUUGGAGUUUGCUGUAGAGAAGUUUCCUGGCAUUACUAGUUUCGUAAUCUUCCUGUCAGUUAGUUGGAUUAACUGUUAAAGCUGAGAACAUGUUCUUUUUCCUUAUUCUGGAUUAGUUUUCAAGUUUGAGUAGUGAGUUUUGUUUCAAUGGAAAACUGUCGCAUGAUUAAUUUAACUCUUUCUG